rnacentral:lncRNA from 1 species
UCUACCUCUGGGCCUCUUAUUCUGUAAUAUAAGAAAAGACGUUAUUUAAACCAAUUUUAUUUAGCUUUCAUAUUUUCAAUAGAAAUGCUCUAGCUGAUGCAAUGUAAAAUCAUGCAAUUAUAAUGCUGGUCUCUUUGUAUUCUUUGAUUGUAGUUGCCAAAAUAAGCUGAAGUCUGACAAUUGCUCAGUAGGACCAGACACGGGCCUGCUCACUUGGUUUCACUUGCCAAUGACCACUCUCUUGAUACAUCCCCCAGGGCAGGUGUGCAUGAAGGAAGGAGCAGCUGCCGCACCAUGCAUUUGAGCUGAGAGCCGGGGCUGUAGAUGGUGUCUGUAAACAGGAGUGGACGUA